CAGAUAGGGCUUUGAUAACCCUUACCCUUUAUUUAUUUAAAUUUUAUUUAUUAUUUAUCUUAGUUUUUGUAGCCUCCUGUUCUUGCGGAAAGCAGUUCUGGAAUGUGGUUGAAGAAGUGCAGGUAAGAGCUUCCAAGUCACGCCUCCGCCCAAAUGCCUACAAAAAACCCACCCUUCAAGAUAAUUCUGGGCUCUUCUUCCAAGGCUCGUAGAGAGAUUCUUUCUGAGAUGGGAUACGAGUUCACAAUAAUGACUGCAGACAUUGAUGAGAAAGGUAUUAGGAGGGAAAAGCCAGAAGAUUUGGUAAUGGCAUUAGCUGAGGCAAAGGCCGAUGCUAUUGUGCAAAGACUCCCAAAUGGAGGUCGAUCGGAGGAAGAUGAUUGUACAACACUGUUAAUGUUAAUUACUGCAGACACGGUUGUAGUGUAUCGAGGAACAAUCAGGGAAAAACCCACCAGUGAAAAAGAAGCACGUGAAUUCAUCAAAGGAUACUCUGGUAGUCAUGCAGCAGUCGUAGGAUCUGUUGUAGUGACUAACCUUUCAACUGGAAAACGUUGUGGGGGAUGGGAUAGUGCAGAGGUUUACUUCCUUGAAAUUCCAGAUGAGGUCAUUGAUAGUCUGGAAAUUCUAGUCAACCUGAAUACUAUAAGUUUUCUUAUUUGAUGGGAGCUUCUCAGAUUGACGAAGGAAUUACAUUCAACGUUGCUGGAGGGUUGAUGCUGGAACAUCCAUUGACAUUACCCUUUGUGGAUGCCGUAGUUGGCUCGACUGAUACAGUGAUGGGACUUUCCAAAGCUCUUACUGAGAAACUCUUCUUGGAAGCUCAAUAGCUGGCGCCACAACACUGUCACUAUAUUCCAAGAGAUACCAGGUGCUGGCUCACGGCGAAAAUUACUGCAAUUAUAUUCAGAAGUUUUGUUUGACCAAUUCUUGUAAGUCAAAACAUAAAAAGAAUGCUUGUUAUUUAACUUCAAUGCUUUGUCUCUCAGUCUUGCAUGACGUAUUGGUUGUAUCCACAAUCCACUCUUGUAUUACAAAUUUAUCAUACAGAUGAAUGCAUCAGAGGCUAUUCCUCUGAAUUGCAUUUACGAAAAAUGUUAAUUCCUUCCUGAGCACGUGAGGAUCUUGGAAAGAUUUUGUUAGAGUUGAGUCACAGUUAGAAUCUC